CGACGUUGCUUUUUUUCUACUUCACCUUCAUUCUUCAACUCUGUUUCGUUUCUUUCGAAAUAAAUUUUUCAUUUUUAUUUUUUUAAUUUUUAUAUUGAGAUUAUUAUCAGUUUUUACAUGUCGAAUCAAUGACUUUCUCCAAUUUCUUCAAUCUGUUAUUCGCCGUCGGCGUUUGGUGUAGCGCGUACAUUACAGUCGCCAUUCUCUCUUCCUUUCGCAUCUUGCAUUCGCUUUGUCUUUGAAUGUUGCUGAAUCAGUGGCUUCAUAGCUUCCACUUCAAAGGGUGGCUUCUUGCUCUGGACUUUUCCCAACAUUCAUUCCUAGACUCGAGAUAAGUAUCAUUAUGUACUUGCUCAAAUUGAUGACUGCAGCAAAUAUCAGAGAUGAAUAAUUGAAGAGUUCUGGCUUUGAUCCUGACAGCAGAAAAUGAUGAGAAGGUUUGAGGACUUGUUACCAUCUGCCAAUCCAACCAAGUUGAUUUUAGAUGUACAUAUGUUACAGAAGAUGGUAAGUUAUUAUUAUUAUUUUUUGAAAACUUUUGGUGUAUAGUACAAUUUGAUGACAUGACUUGCAACAAUGUCAAAACAAAUUUUCUUAGGCUUUACAAUGUUAUUGAAUUUGAUGGACUAAUGUCUCUCUAGA